AAAGCUUUUUCAGUCUGAAAAGCAAGCCAAAGCCCUGAGUGAAGAAGCAAGUAAGAGGGAAAAUGAUUACAGGAAUUAUAAUGAGGAGUUUACUAACAAAAUAAAAUGUCUGGAGAAUGACAUCAAAACUGCAACUGAAAAUCUGCUUAAAAAAGAACAAGAAUUAAACACAAGCAGACUAACCUUGCAAGAAACCCAGAGAGAAACAGAACAGAAGUAUGCAAAAUACCAAGAACUGAGGAAAUAAUUUUUAGAAAAGAAAGAUGAAGAGGUACGAGUCAAAAAAGCCAUUCAGCAGUCGAUCAAAACUACUGAGAAGCUCAAGGAGGACAUGGUAAUAACUUAAAACUCA